CCUACGGGGGGCUGCAGUGGGGAAUCUUGCGCAAUGGGCGAAAGCCUGACGCAGCCAUGCCCCGUGAAUGAUGAGGGUUUUAGGAUUGUAAAAUUCUUUCACGGGGGACGAUAAUGACGGUCCCCGGAGAAGGGCCACCGGCUAACUUCGUGCGAGCAGCCGGGAUAAUACGAAGGGGGCAAGCGUGGCUCGGAAUUACUGGGCGUAAAGGGAGCGUAGGGGGACUGUUAAGUUUGAGGUGAAAGCCCAGGGCUCAACCUUGGUAUUGCCUUUGAUACUGGCAGUCUGGAGUACGGAACAGGUAUGUGGAACUCCGAGUGUAGAGGUGAAACUCGUAGAUAUUCGGAAGAACACCAGUGGCGAAGGCGACAUACUGGUCCGUUACUGACGCUGAGGCUCGAAAGCGUGGGGAGCGAACAGGAUUAGAUACCCUAGUAGUC
rnacentral:rRNA from 1 species